GACUGGACCCAAGGUAGUGAGUUACCUCGAUUGAUGGUUCACAGUCAGUUACAGAUCGAACCCUUUGUUCUACCCUUUUCUCCCUCCUCACUACUGCACUUGACUAGUCUUAA
rnacentral:Y_RNA from 1 species